rnacentral:rRNA from 1 species
AUGGCUCAGGAUGAACGCUAGCGGCAGGCUUAACACAUGCAAGUCGAGGGGCAGCGCGGGUAGCAAUACCUGGCGGCGACCGGCGAAAGGGUGAGUAACGCGUGAGCAACGUGCCCGUAUGUGGGGGAUAGUCAUUGGAAACGAUGCGUAAUACCCCGUAACACAAAUCCUCGCAUGGGGAUUUGUUGAAAGAUUUAUGCAUACGGAUCGGCUCGCGUGCCAUUAGGUAGACGGCGGGGUAACGGCCCACCGUGCCGACGAUGGCUAGGGGUUCUGAGAGGAAGGUCCCCCACAUUGGAACUGAGACACGGUCCAGACUCCUACGGGAGGCAGCAGUGAGGAAUAUUGGACAAUGGCCGGAAGGCUGAUCCAGCCAUGCCGCGUGACCGGGAAGACGGCCCUAUGGGUUGUAAACCGCUUUUGCGAGGGAGCAAUAAGGGCAACGUGUUGUCCGAUGAGAGUACCUCGCGAAUAAGCGUCGGCUAACUCCGUGCCAGCAGCAGC